AUGUUUUUGUCUGAGUUACAGCAUUGUUCUGGUUACAACUGCAGAAUCUGGGUUUAUAAUUGUAAAUUGUUUGUUGAGAUAAGAAGCGAGAGCAUCUAAAAAAGCAUAAUUUAAUAUUCUGGUCACCUGAAGGAUGAACUGUUAAGUCAGUCUAACAAAUAACUUAAAGAUGAAUAUACAAUCUCUGUAACUCCAACAAAUGGUAUUCAUCAUGACCUUUUGACUUUAAUAAGUCUGAUGGUAGUAAAUGACGGUAGCCUUUUUGGUACAAAUGUUUGUAAAAUAAACCUCCCAGCAUCCUCCAGCAGGCUGAUAAGAAAGUAAACAUAAACAUUUGCUCACAUCUGAAACAAUUCUCACACCUGAAGAAGGCUCCACGGCCAAAACGUUGUGUUUUCUUUCUUCUUUUUUUCAGCAUGGAAUAAACCUAUUACUUGUUCCUAAGAAAGAAAUAGACUGAUAUCUUCCAUCCUCUGACAUCCAUCUGACAGAUGGAACUUAGUCAGAGAUGUCUUAUUUCUCCAUAGUCUGAUGUGGGCACUGCAUCACCUGCAUAAUGUCUGUGUGCUUAUGUUUGUCAGCAGAAGAGAAAGUAUCAUCUUCUCCAACAUCUGAAGGAAAUGAGUUUUUCCAUGGUGCUGCACACUGGGAAGUUUAUCAGAAAAUCACUAGGAACUGGAAAAGAAGAAAGUGGCUUGGCAAUGGAUCAAUCAGAAAGGCUUUAACGUAUAUAUUACUAAAGUAUGCACAAGCCACUGAAAUUGGGACCUUCUGCUUAGUUGUGGGAACCAACUGGCUUUAUUUGCUUGAGUGAAAAUUAACGUAUGAGCUAAAUAUAACCCCCUGUCAUUUUCAAGCCGAUAUCAUGUUGUGCUAAUACAUCUUGCGGAAUUGAAAUUUUCAGAUAUAAUUUGAAUAUUUUUGUUACAGCAGUUCCUAUUUUAAUCUUCAUCUGGAAUAUGAUUUGUUUAAAAUACAUUCGCUACAGAAGGAUGUGUCAUGAGGAACAAUAAACACAGCUCUGAAUCAGGGGUCUUAGGCAACAGGCUGGGUCUCAAGUUCUGCUCAUGGAUCUCAGAGAUGCUCCGUGUAUUAUACACUGUUUUUUGCACUUGUUUGAUUUCUUAAAUAAUUCCAGUUAAGCAGUUUCCUUGUGCAGUUACGCAUUUCAUGGCAUGAAAACGUCAUGUCCACAUAGUAACAAAACCUGAUACUAUGCAAAGUAAUAUGUUUCUGUUUCAUAAUACAUCCAUCCAUGAUCAGAAAGCUACUUGUUCCUGUCCUAGAAGCAAAAGGGGCUGCCAUAGCCACUGCUUAAAGUGGAAUUAAGCAGAGGCUGCGAGAUGUAAGAUGAAUUCACUUGCUAGGCAGCGACUUGGGACACAGGCAGAGCAGUACUGAGCAUGCAGGCAAGUGCGAUACAAUAGCAGGCUGGCAACACAAGCAAAACAUGGUGUAGACAAAGAAACAACCAUCUAGAGUCUAUUGUCAGACACUAGUGGGAGUCAAAGCUCGGAAAACACUGUAGCAAAGCGGGAGACAAAACGAGACAACACAGGGUCCAAACCGACACGAACAUCGUAGAGAAUAAGUAGCACAGGGGAUGACCUGAAAGAUGUGGUAGAGAACAAAGCUGUGCCAGAAAGCCAAGCUAGAACAAGAGAGAAAACACGGGAAUUAUAAACUUGGGGGACUCUGAGCAACACUUGGAAAUAAACUCUGUACCAGAUCCCACAAGUUUUGUCUGAGCAGACCUUAAACAUUCUGCACCACCUGAAGUGGGCAUGACUGUAAAUUGCCCACAGGUGACAGAGGUUUCCUGCCAAAAUGUGUUUCCAUGGUAACUACCACUGAAGGAGUGGAGGUGUGGCUGGUUACCAAGCCAAACUGUAGCUUGCAGAAGCAAGCCUGAGAAGGGCAAAUUAGGAUUACUUUAGAGACAACAAUUAGCUUAACUAGCUUGACCACCUGGAGAAACUCAAGUUGAAACAAUGGUGGAACAUUCAAACUCAUGUACCCUGGUCUGUAAUUAAUAACCAAGACAAAAGCUG
rnacentral:lncRNA from 1 species